ACGGCCAUACCAUGCUGAAUAUACCGGUUCUCGUUAGAUCACCGAAGUCAAGCAUCAUUGGGGCAGUCGACCGGUGACCACCUGGGAACACCGCGUGCCGUUG